rnacentral:rRNA from 1 species
CUACGGGACGCAGCAGCGGGGAAUAUUGCACAAUGGGCGGAAGCCUGAUGCAGCGACGCCGCGUGGAUGAUGAAGGCCUUCGGGUCGUAAAAUCCUUUUGCAGGGGAAGAGAAGGGACGGUACCCUGCGAAUAAGCGUCGGCUAACUACGUGCCAGCAGCCGCGGUAAUACGUAGGACGCGAGCGUUAUCCGGAUUUACUGGGCGUAAAGCGCCUGUAGGCGGUUGAAUAAGUCGGCUGUGAAAGCCCCGGGCUUAACCCGGGGAGGCCAGGCGAUACUGUUCGACUUGAGGGUGACAGAGGGGAGUGGAAUUUCCGGAGUAGCGGUAAAAUGCGCAGAUCUCGGAAGGGACACCCGUGGCGAAGGCGGCUCCCUGGGUCAGCCCUAACGCUGAGAGGCGACAGCUAGGGGAGCGAACAGGAUUAGAUACCCCCGUAGUC